rnacentral:rRNA from 1 species
GAAUCUUGGUCAAUGGGCGCAAGCCUGAACCAGCGAUGCCGCGUGAGUGAUGAAGGCCUUCGGGUCGUAAAGCUCUGUCAGAGGGGAAGAACCACCUGAAGGUUAAUAUCCUUCAGGCCUGACGGUACCCUCAAAGGAAGCACCGGCUAACUCCGUGCCAGCAGCCGCGGUAAUACGGAGGGUGCAAGCGUUGUUCGGAAUUAUUGGGCGUAAAGCGCGUGUAGGCGGUCUGUUAAGUCGGAUGUGAAAGCCCCGGGCUCAACCCGGGAAGUGCAUUGGAAACUGGCAGACUUGAGUACGGGAGAGGGUAGUGGAAUUCCGAGUGUAGGGGUGAAAUCCGUAGAUAUUCGGAGGAACACCGGUGGCGAAGGCGGCUACCUGGACCGAUACUGACGCUGAGACGCGAAAGCGUGGGGAGCAAACAGG